rnacentral:rRNA from 1 species
GAUUCGUCACACUAUCAUUAACUGAAUCCAUAGGUUAAUGAGGCGAACCGGGGGAACUGAAACAUCUAAGUACCCCGAGGAAAAGAAAUCAACCGAGAUUCCCCCAGUAGCGGCGAGCGAACGGGGAGGAGCCCAGAGCCUGAAUCAGCAUGUGUGUUAGUGGAAGCGUCUGGAAAGGCGCGCGAUACAGGGUGACAGCCCCGUACACAAAAGCGCAUGUGCUGUGAGCUCGAUGAGUAGGGCGGGACACGUGGUAUCCUGUCUGAAUAUGGGGGGACCAUCCUCCAAGGCUAAAUACUCCUGACUGACCGAUAGUGAACCAGUACCGUGAGGGAAAGGCGAAAAGAACCCCGGCGAGGGGAGUGAAAAAGAACCUGAAACCGUGUACGUACAAGCAGUGGGAGCACA